GGUAAACGUUUGUAUCCAGCUUGCAGGUAAAGGGUUACAGAUUCUAGGAAGUAUUAAAUGCAAACUUUAAAGGAUUUUAUUUUCAUCUACAGUCACAUGACACCUUAAUACCCAAUGACACUAACUACAGUAUCUCAUUAAGAGGUCAUGCAAACUCCCAAGCUAAACAAGGCAUUCUUACAUAUUUAACAUUCAAAUGCAGAAGCCAAGCUAAGCCAUGGAAGAUUGUAAUCAGAAAAGAGCUGCACUUCCUGAUCAGCAAAAAAGCUACAGGUUCUUUAAACAAGAGACAGAUUGCUAGUAUUUUGGCCUGAAAUCUGAAGGUUAUUUUGGAAUGUGAAAACUACUUGUUGCUUGGAUCCAUGACAACCAUGCAGAUACUAUUGACUUGGAUAAACAACCUACACUGACAUGUCAGCCUCCACCUCACAGUACCCUGCUUCGCUUUGUGGACACACGAAGAGACCACUUGCAAAGUGUUGUUUUGUUACUGCAGGAUCAAGACAUUUAAAACAAACUUUUCAAGCAGUCAAUGGAGUACAAACUGAUUGGCUCACUGUCUUCAGCUACUCUGAACUCUGAAAAUGGAAGUCUAAGGAAAAGUGACUUUUGAACCAGCAGAGAGCAAAAAGCAGCUUAACAGGCAGUUGUGCUGACAUAUGCAAUUCAAGUAAAAAAAUUGUUGGUUUUCCUGUCAGUGCUGCAAAGAAAAUCAAACYGUGCAGUUUCUGGUUCGUUCAGCCCCAGAAGGAAUAAAUAUUCUGAAAGCCAGAUUCUGUCUUUAUUU
rnacentral:lncRNA from 1 species